rnacentral:tRNA from 1 species
GCAAGUUUAGCUCAGUGGUAGAGCGAAUGACUUUUAAUCAUCGGGUCGUCGGUUCGAUUCCGUCAACUUGCA